CACGUAGGGGGCGAGCGUUUGUCCGGAUUUAUUGGGCGUAAAGAGCUCGUAGGCGGUUUGUCGCGUCUGCUGUGAAAACCCGAGGCUCAACCUCGGGCCUGCAGUGGGUACGGGCAGACUAGAGUGCGGUAGGGGAGAUUGGAAUUCCUGGUGUAGCGGUGGAAUGCGCAGAUAUCAGGAGGAACACCAAUGGCGAAGGCAGAUCUCUGGGCCGUAACUGACGCUGAGGAGCGAAAGCAUGGGGAGCGAACAGG
rnacentral:rRNA from 1 species